rnacentral:sRNA from 1 species
AAGGGACCUAGCGUAGUUCGGAAUUACUGGGCUUAAAGAGUUCGUAGGUGGUUGAAAAAGUUGGUGGUGAAAUCCCAGAGCUUAACUCUGGAACUGCCAUCAAAACUUUUCAGCUAGAGUAUGAUAGAGGAAAGCAGAAUUUCGAGUGUAGAGGUGAAAUUCGUAGAUAUUAGAAAGAAUACCAAUUGCGAAGGCAGCUUUCUGGAUCAUUACUGACACUGAGGAACGAAAGCAUGGGUAGUGAAGAGGAUUAGAUACCCUCGUAGUCCAUGCCGUAAACGAUGUGUGUUAGACGUUGGAAAUUUAUUUUCAGUGUCGUAGCGAAAGCGAUAAACACACCGCCUGGGGAGUACGACCGCAAGGUUAAAACUCAAAUGAAUUGACGGGGACCCGCACAAGUAGUGGAGCAUGUGGUUAAAUUCGAAGAUACGCGCAGAACCUUACCAACACUUGACAUGUUCGUCGCGACUCUAAGAGAUUAGAGUUUUCGGUUCGGCCGGACGAAACACAGGUGCUGCAUGGCUGUCGUCAGCUCGUGUCGUGAGAUGUUGGGUUAAGUCCCGCAACGAGCGCAACCCUCACUUUUAGUUGCCAUCAUUAAGUUGGGCACUCUGAAAGAACUGCCAGUGAUAAGCUGGAGGAAGGUGGGGAUGACGUCAGGUCCUCAUGGCCCUUACGUGUUGGGCUACACACGUGCUACAAUGGUAUCUACAACAGGAAGCAAGACGGCAACGUUAAGCAAAUCCCGAAAAGAUACCUCAGUUCGGAUUGCACUCUGCAACUCGAGUGCAUGAAGCUGGAAUUACUAGUAAUCGUGGAUCAGCGUGCCACGGUGAAUGCGUUCCCGGGUCUUGUACACACCGCCCGUCACACCAUGGGAGUUGGUUCUACCUUAAGGCAAGGCUUCAAACCCUUGACCACGGUAUAGUCAGCGACUGGGGUGAAGUCGUAACAAGGUAGCCGUAGGGGAACCUGCGGCUGAAUUACCUCCUUUCUAAGGAUGAAUGAAAGUAAAAUUUCAUUCUAAAUAAUAUACAUCGGUAAUGUUGACCGUCCUCAUUUCUCUUCUUAAAGUAAUGUUUCCUUCUUGAAGGGCCGGUAGCUCAGUUGGCUAGAGCACACCCUUGAUAAGGGUGGGGUCGAAAGUUCGAGUCUUUCUCGGCCCACCGAUCUUAACUGGGGGAUUAGCUCAUCUGGGAGAGCGCCUGAUUUGCAUUCAGGAGGUAGCAGGUUCGAUCCCUGUAUCCUCCACCAGGAAACAUAUAGUUAUUAAAAACUGUAAAUAAAAAUAAUUUAUAUCAAUAUCUAUAUCCGAACAUUAAAAGUUAUUAUUUAAUGUUCAAAAUAAAAAUUUGAUCACAACACAGAGAAAAUUUUUUUCUGUGCAUAAAUCAAGCGUUUAAGGGCGUGUGGCGGAUGCCUUGGCACUGAAAGCCGAUGAAGGACGUGAUAUACUGCGAUAAGUUUCGGGGAGCUGUAUGUAAGUUUUGAUCCGAAAAUUU